GCAUAUCAAUAAGCGGAGGAAAAGAAACUAACAAGGAUUCCCUUAGUAACGGCGAGUGAAGCGGGAAGAGCUCAAAUUUGAAAUCUUCAAGGUUCUACCUUGAUGAAUUGUAGUUUAAAGAAGUGUUUUCUGUUAGAUGAGUAGCAAAAGUUCCCUGGAAUGGGACAUCAUAGAGGGUGAGAAUCCCGUAUUUGGUUAUUCAUUCUAGCUUUGUGAUACACUUUCAAAGAGUCGGAUUGUUUGGGAAUGCAGUCCAAAAUGGGUGGUAAAUUUCAUCUAAAGCUAAAUAUUGGCGAGAGACCGAUAGCGAACAAGUACCGUGAGGGAAAGAUGAAAAGAACUUUGAAAAGAGAGUUAAACAGUACGUGAAAUUGUCAAAAGGGAAGCGUUUGACACCAGUGUUGUUUUUCCGAAAAUCAAUUACGAAUGGCUUGAUUUUGUGUUGUAUUGACCUUAUCAGCUUUCUUCACUUUUUUCGAGUCUUUCUUAAUGCACUUUUCGGUUAACAAGUCAACAUCAAUUUCUUUUGUUGUAAAAGAGUAUUCGGAAGGUGGCUUUCUUUUCGGAGAAAGUGUUUAUAGCCCUAUACUUCUACAAUCGGAGAGAUUGAGGUCUGCAGCGUAGAUCCUUCGGGGUUAGAUACACUUGUGCUAAGUUGUAGCUUUUCAUAGACAACUUGUUGACUAUGUUUAGUCAUGCGGCUUACUCGCUUGUGCUAUUUUACCUACGCUUAGGAUGUUGACAAAAUGGUUUUAAACGGCCCGUCUUGAAACACGGACC
rnacentral:rRNA from 1 species